rnacentral:lncRNA from 1 species
GGACUUGGCAAUAAUUUGAAAGUUUUACAUGUUUUUGGCUUAUAAUAAGUAUCAGAGUGUCCAUACCCAUGUCCAAGUGUCAAGUGUCCGACACGGGUACUCGAGACAAAAUAAAGAGUCAGGGUAACAUGGGUUAAUAACAUUGGUAUAAAUUUAAACUCGAAAUGCCCGUCAAUAUCUUUUUAAGUAUUAUUUCUCAUAUUGGAUUCAAGUUUCCUAAUUUAAUUACACAAAUAGUACUCAUGUUGCCUUCUGAAAAAGGUCAUGUGAUAAAAUUUUAUGUUUAAACUUUAAACCAUAUUUCUUUUGUACUCUUGUUUAUGUUUGGAGCUCCUGAACUACACUGUUUUCUCCCAACCUAAAAGCUUUUGGGUUUUGAAUGUGGAACUGGCAUCACUUUAAGGAUUCAGCUUUCUAUACUGUUGUAGUUUGAUGCAUUUGGUAUCUGCAGAUGUUGACAGAGAAGGCAACAAAAGUUACAGCAAUGGCACUACAUAUGUAAAGGAAACAAAUGGUUAGACUAUCUCUUACCUUUUUUUAGUAAUUCAAUCUGAUAUACUGUUGUACCAUAGAAGUAAUUUAAUAUCAUUGGUAUUGAUUUAAACUAAACGUUCUGUCCAUCUCUUUCCAAAUAUAAACCGUGUCAUAUUGGAUUCAAAUAUCCAAAUUUAUGAACAGAUAGUGCUCUUUUUCCCCUUCUGCUGAAAAAGGUCAUGUGAAUGACAUGUUUAGUUAUUUUAUGGUAUAAACUGUGUCAUAUUGGAUUCAAAUAUCCAAAUUUAUGAACAAAUAGUGCUCUCUUUUACCUUCUGCUGAAAAAGGUCAUGUGCAUGACAUGUUUAGUUGUUUUAUGGUUUGUUCAGCAAUACUUAAAGAACAUAUCUAUAUCUAUAUCAUGUUAAUACUUAAUAGUAUAUAGUUUCAGUGGGGUGGUUUGGUUCGCGGAGUAGUAUGUGGUUGGAAUCAAGAAUUGGGUUAAGGUGGUAUAGGUUUGAGG